AAUAGAAUUGCCUGGUCAAGUGGUAGGUAGUUCUAUGUUCAGUUUUUUGAGGAUCUGACAAAUUCCUUUCCAAAGUAGCUAUACCAGUUUAGAUUCCUACCAGCAAU
rnacentral:pre_miRNA from 1 species